CAUGUUUAUAUGAUGAAACGUUAGGGUAUAGGGUGAGCACGCUUCUGAUUAGGUAGUUGGUGAGGUAACGGCUCACCAAGCCGACGAUCAGUAGGGGUUCUGAGAGGAAGGUCCCCCACAUUGGAACUGAGACACGGUCCAAACUCCUACGGGAGGCAGCAGUGAGGAAUAUUGGUCAAUGGACGGAAGUCUGAACCAGCCAAGUCGCGUGAAGGAUGAAGGUUCUAUGGAUUGUAAACUUCUUUUAUUCGAGGGUAAAGUGUGGUACGUGUACCAUAUUGCAAGUAUCGAAUGAAUAAGCAUCGGCUAACUCCGUGCC
rnacentral:rRNA from 1 species